CAGCCGCCGCGGUAAUACGUAGGGUGCGAGCGUUACUCGGAUUUACUGGGCGUAAAGCGUGCGCAGGCGGCCCGUUAAGACAGGUGUGAAAUCCCUGGGCUCAACCUAGGAAUUGCGCUUGUGACUGGCGGGCUCGAGUACGGUAGAGGGGGGUGGAAUUCCUGGUGUAGCAGUGAAAUGCGUAGAGAUCAGGAGGAACACCGAUGGCGAAGGCAGCCCCCUGGGCCUGUACUGACGCUCAUGCACGAAAGCGUGGGGAGCAAACAGGAUUAGAUCCCCUGGUAGUCCACGCCCUAAACGAUGGGUACUAGCCGUUUGGUGCGCGAUAGCGCUGAGUGGCGAAGCUAACGCGAGAAGUACCCCGCCUGGGGAGUACGGCCGCAAGGUUGAAACUUAAAGGAAUUGGCGGG
rnacentral:rRNA from 1 species